rfam:Ovis aries breed Texel chromosome 9, whole genome shotgun sequence.
UCCUUCAUAGCUCAGUUGGUAAAGAAUCUGCCUGCAAUGCAGGAAGACCCUGGUUCAAUUCCUGGGUUGGGAA